rnacentral:rRNA from 1 species
CUGAAGAGAGGAGCUUGCUCUUCUUGGAUGAGUUGCGAACGGGUGAGUAACGCGUAGGUAACCUGCCUUGUAGCGGGGGAUAACUAUUGGAAACGAUAGCUAAUACCGCAUAACAAUGGAUGACACAUGUCAUUUAUUUGAAAGGGGCAAUUGCUCCACUACAAGAUGGACCUGCGUUGUAUUAGCUAGUAGGUGAGGUAAUGGCUCACCUAGGCGACGAUACAUAGCCGACCUGAGAGGGUGAUCGGCCACACUGGGACUGAGACACGGCCCAGACUCCUACGGGAGGCAGCAGUAGGGAAUCUUCGGCAAUGGGGGCAACCCUGACCGAGCAACGCCGCGUGAGUGAAGAAGGUUUUCGGAUCGUAAAGCUCUGUUGUAAGUCAAGAACGGGUGUGAGAGUGGAAAGUUCACACUGUGACGGUAGCUUACCAGAAAGGGACGGCUAACUACGUGCCAGCAGCCGCGGUAAUACGUAGGUCCCGAGCGUUGUCCGGAUUUAUUGGGCGUAAAGCGAGCGCAGGCGGUUUGAUAAGUCUGAAGUUAAAGGCUGUGGCUCAACCAUAGUUCGCUUUGGAAACUGUCAAACUUGAGUGCAGAAGGGGAGAGUGGAAUUCCAUGUGUAGCGGUGAAAUGCGUAGAUAUAUGGAGGAACACCGGUGGCGAAAGCGGCUCUCUGGUCUGUAACUGACGCUGAGGCUCGAAAGCGUGGGGAGCGAACAGGAUUAGAUACCCUGGUAGUCCACGCCGUAAACGAUGAGUGCUAGGUGUUGGAUCCUUUCCGGGAUUCAGUGCCGCAGCUAACGCAUUGAGCACUCCGCCUGGGGAGUACGACCGCAAGGUUGAAACUCAAAGGAAUUGACGGGGGCCCGCACAAGCGGUGGAGCAUGUGGUUUAAUUCGAAGCAACGCGAAGAACCUUACCAGGUCUUGACAUCCCGAUGCUAUUUCUAGAGAUAGAAAGUUACUUCGGUACAUCGGUGACAGGUGGUGCAUGGUUGUCGUCAGCUCGUGUCGUGAGAUGUUGGGUUAAGUCCCGCAACGAGCGCAACCCCUAUUGUUAGUUGCCAUCAUUCAGUUGGGCACUCUAGCGAGACUGCCGGUAAUAAACCGGAGGAAGGUGGGGAUGACGUCAAAUCAUCAUGCCCCUUAUGACCUGGGCUACACACGUGCUACAAUGGUUGGUACAACGAGUUGCGAGUCGGUGACGGCGAGCUAAUCUCUUAAAGCCAAUCUCAGUUCAGAUUGUAGGCUGCAACUCGCCUACAUGAAGUCGGAAUCGCUAGUAAUCGCGGAUCAGCACGCCGCGGUGAAUACGUUCCCGGGCCUUGUACACACCGCCCGUCACACCACGAGAGUUUGUAACACCCGAAGUCGGUGAGGU